rnacentral:misc_RNA from 1 species
GCAAUUGCAACAACAGAAUGUCACAGCCAUGUCGAGCUAUCAAAUUCAACAAUCCCUUCAAAGAUCUCCUUCUAUGUCUCGUUUAAGCCAAAUUAACCAACAGCAGCAGAAUCAAUACAGUGGCGUUUUGAGGCAGCAACAACAACAAGGGCUAUAUGGGCAAGUAAAUUUUAGUGGGUCCGGUUCAAUUCAACAGAAUUUGCAGCAGAAUUCGCAGAAUCAGCAAAUGAGUGGCGCCAACUUUUCGCGGUCUGCACUUCUCGGGCAGAGCGGGCACUUGCCCAUGCUGACUGGGGCAGUGGCUGCUGCAGCAGCGGCUCAAGCUCAAUUGAAUUUGUUGGCCUCGCCAAGGCAAAAAGCUGGGUUAGUCCAAGGGUCUCAAUUCCAUCCUGG